AUACGCUCAUAUCAGGUUGAAACACCGGUUCUCGUACAACCAUCGAAGUUAAGCAACGUCGAGCUUGGUCAGUACCGAGUUGGAUAACUAGUUGGGAAUACCACGUUCUGUAAG